CGCUUUGUGGGGAAGAGGGCAGUGGCUUGUCUUACUCUGUUCCAUGAAACAGGAAGAAAAUGCUCCAAAGGCUCCCAUGUUCCACUUCUGGGAUGACUCCAUUUCAGGGGCGAACAAAGUGAUUUCCAUAUCUAAAGCUUAUAAAGAAAUUUAGAAUGGCUGAAAAGGAAAUAAACUAUAUAAAGACUCCCAUCAGCAGAUAUUAGAGCAUAAAGAAGAACCCAGUACUUACUCCUUGGCUCUCUUGGUCCAUCCACUGUAACCUUUAUAGCUCUGUGUCUGGAAGACAAGUCUGGACCAAUUUCUCCAUCCUGCCUCUGGCAGCAGAAUGUGGCAUUUCAGAUCUUCCACCAAGUCCCGGCUGCUUCAAAGGAAAAUCCCUACUUUCUUCCGUUAAGAUCAUAAGAAAUAUAGGGGGAGGGGGUCAGCUCUGUUUGGACAUAAUUACACUUCAUCAAAAGAAGCUUUCUUCAUCUUCCAUGCGUGAAAAGUCUGCAAGCAAUUUUACCCAGAUUGAUCAGAGAAAACUUCUUAACCAAAGACUGAAGAACACAAAAGAUAAAUGAAACUACUUUGGCCAAAUUUGAAAAGUCAUUAAACCUGGCUACUUGGUUCUUCAUCACAGCAGAGGCAUUCCUCAGCUCUGCAGAAUAGUUUUCAUCAUUUCCAGCCAUGACGGUGACCACGGUCCCAUCAGCUUCUUGCAGGACAACAAAGAACAUACAAGUCUGGUGUAAUAACUCUGUCUUUACACGUCUCAGUAAGAUGCUCCUGAAAGAAUUGUCAACUGAGGGACAAAUCCUGUUAUCGCUACUCCACUGACUACUAUGAACUACUUGUGAAUAACGUGAACAUGAUUUGGCCCCCGUCCCAUUGUCCCACUUUCCUUUAUAUCUUAGCCACCUGAACGUUAUUAAGCAGCUACAAAGCUAUGUUAAUAAGCGCAUUGUUAACAUUCUUCACUAUAAAAAUAGUUUGCACUAACAUAGUCUUACUAUUCAGUAUAUUAAACAAGAACUCCCUUCACAGCUCAUGUAAAUAUUAAUACUCCAAUUCAAGUGUCCUACUAGCCAACAUGAUUUUAAAAAAUUAUAAUCAAAACUAUCACUGUUUAUAACAUACUUCCUUUCCUACAAUUGAUUUACAUCUGUUUUUUUUAAAUUAAAACUGUGGUAUGUCCAAAGCACUUUUUAACUAGAGAAUCCUAUAACAGAAUUAUGAUAUACUUAACACACCAUUCAAAAUAUUAUCAUCAGCAUAUUAUUUAUUGCCAAUAAAACUUCAGUUGUCAAUUUUUAAAAAGCAUGCUGUAUGUGAACUAGUUACGGUACACGCCAGAUCAGUAUUUUCUUUUUUUUUCCUUUUUUUAAAUUAAAGAUAACUGCUCCUGUGUUACAUUAUAGUGAUUUUUUUUGUUAUAUAUGCAUUUGGAUUAUUUCAGCUUGAAAUUGUGCAGAGUUACAUAUCAUUUCAAUUUAUACAGUGAAAAGAAAACUGAUAAAAUAUGUGUUUGAGAUCAUUGUUAAGUAAAUGUAAUUAGGAUUUACAGUACAGUUUUUCUGUAGUAAAUAAAGGUAAUACAUACAGAACAUCUACAUAAUGCAUGCACAUAUAUUCUCUGUGUAAAAAUACAGAUGUAUGUAAAUGUGCACAUGCUUUAUAGCUGAGUGGUGGUGUAAGUGGUGAAAGAACUGGCUCAUAGUCAAUUUAAUAUUCCUGACACCUCAAUAAACUGGAUAAAUCUAUGCGGGUCUGUCAAUAGGGACCUGUAUGGCCUUUAUUACUGUAGUAUUUGAAUAUUGCAAAUACUGAAUACUUCAUCCAAUUUAGCUAGCGUGUGCAUAAAUAUAUAUAGACGGGAAAUGGGAAAUGCUCUGAAGACAUCUGUCCUUUUAUCAGGUUUAAAUGUGCUUUUUUGUAACCAUAUCUUGUGUCAUAUUAGGUUCAUAUUUUUCUCCUAAACUUUUUCAUCCAGCAGAUGUAAUAGUAUCCUUUAAAGAUAAGUAAAUAAGAAAAAGUAGAAGAUGAUGCCUGACAUUUCAAAAGAAGCCAGAGACAGAUAUAACUGCAAUGUGCAAUAUUUACUUCUGUGAACUAUAACUUUAAAACUAAUCUAAUCUAAAAAUGAUCAAAAUUACAAUCAAAGUUACCUGAAAUCUCCUCCUUCUUCCCCCCAACCAUCAGUGCCCUCUGAACAAGACUUGCUCAGGAGAAGUGAUCUACACCUGAUAUUUGUCAUGGCCCUUUAAUGCUUGGCAAAGUUACAGAAAUAGAAGAUUUUUAAUGGCUCUGUUUAGCCUGUUCUCUGCUAUCUCUAACAAGUGAGGACCACAAAGACUACUAAUCAUCUAACUCUAAGGUAGAGGGGGUUCUUCCAGGACCUUUCCCUGUCAUAUAUGUGAGCUUCAGACAAAUGAAGUCUGUUUCUCUGUCUGAUACUAA